UACGAAGGGUGCAAACGUUGCUCGGAAUUAUUGGGCGUAAAGCGCACGUAGGCGGCUUAGCAAGUCGGAUGUGAAAGCCCUCGGCUCAACCAAGGAAGUGCAUCCGAAACUGCUGAGCUUGAGUACUUAAGAGGAUCGCGGAAUUCCCGGUGUAGAGGUGAAAUUCGUAGAUAUCGGGGGGAACACCAGUGGCGAAGGCGGCGAUCUGGGAAGAUACUGACGCUGAGGUGCGAAAGCGUGGGGAGCAAACAGG
rnacentral:rRNA from 1 species